UACGGAGGGUGCGAGCGUUAAUCGGAAUUACUGGGCGUAAAGCGUGCGCAGGCGGUUUUGUAAGUCAGAUGUGAAAUCCCCGGGCUUAACCUGGGAACUGCGUUUGAAACUACAAGGCUAGAGUGUGGCAGAGGGGGGUGGAAUUCCACGUGUAGCAGUGAAAUGCGUAGAGAUGUGGAGGAACACCGAUGGCGAAGGCAGCCCCCUGGGUUAACACUGACGCUCAGGCACGAAAGCGUGGGGAGCAAACAGG
rnacentral:rRNA from 1 species